rnacentral:sRNA from 1 species
CCAACAAUCACAAUACAAAUAAUAACAAUUCCCCAACCGACAAACUUGGGAAUACAAAAUAAAUAUGUGCAGGGCAAAACAAAAGCAAGAGCAGAAACACUCUCUCUUUCUCGCUCGGAAAAGGCCAAGCAGCAUCAAUGUCAUUGCUUACAUUUGUUGCAGGACACUGCCGGCCAAAAGUCCUGGCACACCCGCUGUAGGUGGAAAAGUGCUUGGGGAAAGGUGGAAAUCGCAGGCAAUUAUAACAGUCAAGGAAACCGAUUUGCAGGCAAAAACAAAACACAACCGGAAGCAGUGGCAAGCGUUGCCCGAAUCCAUUUCUGUCAGCUUUUGGCCAGAGAAGCCACCAGCAGGAGUUGGGCUCGUGGGUCCUCCAGGAUGGCAUGCACUGCUAAAAUGGCUAAAAUGCAUUCGGCAACAAAAGGCUGUGUGAGAGCGCCACACAAUUAUAUGAAAGUGCAGUGCGAGACGGCCAGACAAUACACCGAAAAAGGACAAGUAUUGUAAUAACAAUUACAAGGACACGCCUGGAGUCCUGGCCGCUUGGCAUUAGCCCGGGUGUUGGGAUCCUCGUUCUCACUUUAUUUGAGCUUAGUUUGGCGCUCCGUUUGCUAGCCGGUUUGCUGCUAUUCAAGUUUAAUUAACCUAAAAGUGCUUGCAUUAUUUAAUUUUAUUUUCUGUCAUUGUUGCCGGCGUUGCUGCACAGACAGAUACUAAUUUAGUUGAAAGCAAAAUUUCAUUAGCAGUGAAAACGUCGCGUGAAAA